GAAAUGCGAUAAGUAAUGUGAAUUGCAGAAUUCAGUGAAUCAUCGAAUCUUUGAACGCACCUUGCGCUCCUUGGUAUUCCUUGGAGCAUGCCUGUUUGAGUAUCAUGAAAUCUUCAAAGUAAAUCUUUUGUUAACUCAAUUGGUUUCUACUUUGGUAUUGGAGGUCUUUGCAGCUUCACACCUGCUCCUCUUUGUUCAUUAGCUGGAUCUCAGUGUUAUGCUUGGUUCCACUUGGCGUGAUAAGUUAUCUAUCGCUGAGGACACUGUAAAAGGUGGCCAAGGUAAAUGCAGAUGAACCGCUUCUAAUAGUCCAUUGACUUGGACAAUACUUUUAUGAUCUGAUCUCAAAUCAGGUAGGACUACCCGCUGAACUUAAGC
rnacentral:misc_RNA from 1 species